CCUACGGGUGGCAGCAGUGAGGAAUAUUGGUCAAUGGCCGGAAGGCUGAACCAGCCAAGCCGCGUGAAGGACGAAGGUGCCAAGCAUUGUAAACUUCUUUUGUCAAGGGACAAAAUCAGGCUCGAGAGCCUGACCGAGGGUACUUGAAGAAAAAGCAUCGGCAAACCCCGUGCCAGCAGCCGCGGUAAUACGGAGGAUGCGAGCGUUAUCCGGAUUUGUUGGGUUAAAGGGGUGCGUAGGCGGGAUGCCAAGUCAGCGGUAAAAAGGCGGUGCUCAACGCCGUCGAGCCGUUGAAACUGGCGUUCUUGAGUGGGGGAGAGGUAUGCGGAAUGCGUGGUGUAGCGGUGAAAUGCAUAGAUAUCACGCAGAACACCGAUUGCGAAGGCAGGAUACCGGCGCCCUACUGACGCUGAGGCACGAAAGCGUGGGUAUCGAACAGGAUUAGAUACCCGUGUAGUC
rnacentral:rRNA from 1 species